GGCGGGUUAGCUCAGCUGGUUAGAGCGCAUGAUUCAUAAUCAUGAGGUCCGGGGUUCAAGUCCCCGACCCGCUACCA
rnacentral:tRNA from 1 species